AUGGUGGACUUGACACUUAGGCUCUGGUGGCCCGACCAGCCACAACCCCAUGGAAUUACAACCUGCGAUGAGAUCGGUAGUGAUUUCAUCAGCAGGCUCCCAGAUGCCAUCCUCAGCACCAUCAUCUCCCUCCUCCCCAUCAAGGAUGGCGGCCGCACGCCGGUCCUCUCCCCCCGAUGGCGCCAGCUCUGGCGCUCCACACACCUCAAUCUCGAGGUCCGCAACCCACCCCGUGGCUACCCCGUCUCCUCCACCGCCGUCACCCCCGCCGCUGCCUCCAAGAUAAUUUCCCAACACCUUGUCACCGCCCGUCGAUUCUCCUUCCAGUGCCUCCUGGAAGGUGACCUAUACACCCAGUUGGAUAGUUGGUUCCACUCCCAAGCCCUUGCCAGACUCCAAGAUCUCGAUAUCAGCUACCUAUGCCCUCAUCAACGUUCUGAGCCGAGAAACCCGCUGCCACCAUCCUUAUUCCGCUCUGCAUCCACCCUCCUCGUUGCCAAGUUCAGCUAUUGUGAUUUCCCUGAUGAGGUCUUGCCUUCCAUGAACUUUCCCCUCCUCAAGCAACUCUCCUUGGUGUAUGUUACCAUCUCAGGGGAGGUCUUCCAUAGACUGCUCUCUGGAUGCCAUGCCUUGGAGAGUUUUUACAUGUCCGAAGUUCGUGGCGAGGGAUGCCUUCAUGUUAGCUCGCAGACUCUUAGAAGCAUCGGUGUCCGCAAUUCCUCUAAAGAAAAAUUAGAGCUGGUGAUCGAGGAUGCUCCUUGCCUUGGAAUAAGCCCAGUUAUCUCGGCAAACUGGAUGCGCACCGUGAAGGUUUUUUGUCUCAGGUCUUCUGGCCUUGAAUUGGACGCAGUUCUUAACAUCCUCAGGUGGUUUCCCUAUCUGGAAAAGCUCUACAUCAUUUUUCAAAAACACAAUGAGAAGGAUAAGAAAAAUCAUCCUCAAUAUGACCCUUUAUAUCCAAUCGAAUGCCUUCAGACCCGUCUAAAAAAAGUGGUGUUUAAGGCAUUCAUAGGCUAUGAGAAACAGGUUAGCUUUGCGAGGUUCUUUGUUUUGCAUGCAAAAGCCCUCAAAAAAGUUGAAUUUGAAGUAUAUGGCGAGUGCAACACUCUAUCGGUGGCUUAUCAUCACACACUGCUAAAAGUGGAAAACAGAGCUUCUCGGGAUGCUCAGUUUGAAUUCAGGAGCAACCAUCGUCGUACUGAGUAUGAUGCACAUAUCCAUGAUUUGUCCGUGGCCGACCCCUUCGGAUAG
rnacentral:rRNA from 1 species